rnacentral:rRNA from 1 species
CCUACGGGAGGCAGCAGUGGGGAAUAUUGGGCAAUGGACGAAAGUCUGACCCAGCGACGCCGCGUGAGGGAUGAAGGCCUUCGGGUUGUAAACCUCUUUCAGUAGGGAAGAAGCGAAAGUGACGGUACCUAAAGAAGAAGCACCGGCUAACUAUGUGCCAGCAGCCGCGGUAAUACAUAGGGUGCAAGCGUUGUCCGGAAUUAUUGGGCGUAAAGAGCUCGUAGGUGGUUUGUUGCGUCGGGUGUGAAAUUCAGGGGCUCAACCCCUGACCUGCACUCGAUACGGGCAAGCUAGAGUUUGGUAGGGGAGACUGGAAUUCCUGGUGUAGCGGUGGAAUGCGCAGAUAUCAGGAGGAACACCAAUGGCGAAGGCAGGUCUCUGGGCCAAUACUGACACUGAGGAGCGAAAGCGCGGGGAGCGAACAGGAUUAGAUACCCUGGUAGUCCGCGCCGUAAACGAUGGGCGCUAGUUGUGGGGACCUUCCACGGUUUCUGCGACGCAGCUACGCAUAAGACGCCCGCCGUCGGGAGGUACGACGUCGCGAAGAAUUAAACUAACUAAAUAGAAGUUAGACGGCGUAGAGACGUGCCGACGGACGACGACGAGGGAGGAGG